CCGGCGCCGACUGUGUUGUCCCGUCCUUCUCCCUCCUCUCCGGCGCCAAGCGACGUCCUCUCCUCCUCCCUCCUCUGCGGCGCAACCUCCUCUCUUACUCUCUCCUCUGCAGCGCCGACCGGGAGAGCCUUGAAGCAUUCGGCGUCCUCCGCACCCUCUCCUCCAACCGCUUCUCCCGACGAAUCUCCGGCCGAAGGGAAGACAAUGAAUCAUGACAAGAUAUAUGUUUGGAGAGGCUAGAUGGGUGUUUAGGUUGUUGCUCUGAAAAUCUUUGAAGGGCUUAAGAAUUGAUAUAAAGGUGUUCUAGAGAACAGCAGACAUAAAAUCCUGGGAAUGCAGCCAAAUUUCCAAGCAUUUGGAAGAUGCAUAAAUAUCAAGGCCUGAAGAGAAUUAGAUGAUUAACUAAUUGACUGCAUGCACACACAUCACAUAUAUCUUGAACAGGUGUCUAGUAUCAAGGAAUGUAAAACCCAAGAAAAACAUUCUAGCUAAACUGGGUGGCGUAAAUGAGAAUACAGCAUUUGCUGUUGAAUAUGAACACACUUAUUCAGAUGAUAACUUUGUGGUGCCAACCACUUGAAAUUUGCUUAACAUGAUAAUUUAAGUAACAACUGCCUCAACAACUGUAUGUAUGUUCAGAAAAACUAGCUACUGGUCCAGAGAUAUGAGACAUUUCAUACCACAGAGAGAGUUUAUAUAUUCGAGUGCACACAAAAGAAGGGGUUGGAGGGGGUUUUCAGCAAGAGUGAUAAAAGUUCGGUGAGAGGGGAAGUUAAUAAAAGUUUUCGAAACUAAUAAGGCAACAGAAAAGAAAUGCCUGAAGUGGAUUUACAUCAUGAUUAGAAGCAAGAAAAGAGCAUUGACUUGGUUCAACUAUUCAUAAAUGUUUGAAAAGAAUCUUGCGGUCUUACAAUGUUUAAAACACAGGUGAAACAGACAUAUUCUAUUGCAAUUCAUUUAGAUUUUAUUUAUUAUUUAACUAAUAUUGCUUCUUUUUGUGCAUACGAGGUAACAACAUGCCGCGAGGAAAACGAUUCAGAGAUGUUGAGUUUCAGCACACAUCCGUGGGAUCUUCUUUCGAUCAGUCCCAACAGCCCGACGAGCCCCAGCAGCACGAGUCUCAAUCUGCGCACGUGCCACCUGUUGAUUGUCCAGACAUGGAUGACGUGCACAUCCAGGGUUCCUGAUACUUCAACAGCUCGCAGAGAUGAUGAUGGGGCUGAAUGCGGUCCCUGAUAUUUUUUAGACUGUUAUUUAAUGAGUUUUAUAUGUAUCUUUCUUAUAUUUUUUAAAAUACAUUGUAAUUCUAAACUUAUGUAAAUUUAAUCUUAUAUGACAAU